GCCUAUAGCUCAGUUGGUUAGAGCGCUGCCCUGAUAAGGCAGAGGUCACUGGUUCAAGUCCAGUUAGGC
rnacentral:tRNA from 1 species